rnacentral:rRNA from 1 species
GAUGAACGCUGGCGGCGUGCCUAAUACAUGCAAGUCGAGCGAACGGACGAGCAGCUUGCUUCUCUGAUGUUAGCGGCGGACGGGUGAGUAACACGUGGAUAACCUACCUAUAAGACUGGGAUAACUUCGGGCAACCGGGGCUAAUACCGGAUAAUAUUUUGAACCGCAUGGUUCAAAAGUGAAAGACGGUCUUGCUGUCACUUAUAGAUGGAUCCGCGCUGCAUUAGCUAGUUGGUAAGGUAACGGCUUACCAAGGCAACGAUGCAUAGCCGACCUGAGAGGGUGAUCGGCCACACUGGAACUGAGACACGGUCCAGACUCCUACGGGAGGCAGCAGUAGGGAAUCUUCCGCAAUGGGCGAAAGCCUGACGGAGCAACGCCGCGUGAGUGAUGAAGGUCUUCGGAUCGUAAAACUCUGUUAUUAGGGAAGAACAUAUGUGUAAGUAACUGUGCACAUCUUGACGGUACCUAAUCAGAAAGCCACGGCUAACUACGUG